rnacentral:snRNA from 1 species
GUGGCUCAGAAGUGCUUGA